CGUUUGAUCCUUUCGCUACUCUUCCAGGAGGUAUUUAACGUAGAGACUUGCGUUCGCGCUCGUUUAUUCGUUGGGAAGCGGCACGGUGGCGCAGCGGGUGGCACCGGCGUCUCGCAGGACCUGGACUCUGCUUCUGGAUCCAGGGUUUAAGUCCAGCUCGGCCCGUCUUCACGGACGCGAGUUUCCUGCCGCAGUCCGGAGACGUACGGAAGACGGCCGCGGCAAACUUUUUGCAGUACCUCCCUAAGCAUGAAAGCCACACACGUGGUCAGCGUGAGUAUCCUUGGUCCUUUUGGCCGGCCACUUCAUCGCUCCACCCUCGUAAAAUAUGUAGUUCAUGAAUGCAUUAUUUCUGAUGUUUAUUGAAGAAUCUAUUGAGACCCUAUUAUUUUUAGAUGAACUUUUUACUGUGUACAAUGUGAUGGGUUUGUGUUUUACUUGAAAUCGUGCGCUCCGUGCACGGUACCAUAUUGUACUGUGUUAUACUGCAACUCGACAGUACUUCCCCCACCACACCAUUCACAUGGGUAUUUUACUCACUUUAAACGCUGCGUUCAACAGCUUUGCGGCAGAUUGGGCAUCCGUCUUCUUAACCAUUAGACCACCUUCACCUGCAGGUAACGGUCACACGGCAACCAGCUGCAGCGUAACGGGCCCCCCGGCCCCUCCCCCGGCUCACUUCCUGGCUCCAGGUUCGCCACGUGAUUCGAGGCUGGAUAGGGUCCCGUGCAAGAGUCUUCAGCUGGAGCCUUCCCAGCACAGUACAGCACAAAGAGCUCACCCUGCUGCAGUGUGUGUGUGAGCGAGCGAGCAAGCAAGCAAGCGAGAGAGUUCAUCUGAGAAUGAGCCCUCUCCCCCUCCCUUUCCGCAAAGCCCUUCUAGAAAGCGAUACGAAUGCUGCCCCCCCCCACCUACUUUUUUCAUGUUCACCCAACUGUGCAGAGCGUGAUCACACAGAUCAAGCAGAGACUUGUUCGCAUGUGUGUGCUGUGUUGUGUUCGGGCCUCCAUCCCCCCCACCCGCUUGCCGUCGCCAUCGACUAUCCCGCGCGAAAGUUCAUUGGAGAGCGGAGGGUUAAAUGCAAGGAAGGUGCGAUGGCGCUGAUUUCCGAGGCCCGUGAGAGAAGGGCUUGGGUUCGAGGGGGGCUUCGCGUGUGAGCGAUCGCGGCCCGCCGCUCUGACAGAUCCGACCGAAGCCUCGUUUGAAUAGGCCCCAGCAUGUCUGCCUGCUCUCCUUUGUUUAUGAGGCUGAAAUCUGAAACAAAUGUGAAGGCGACACCCGCGAUACCCCGGUUCCCUCUCCCCCCCGGCACGCGCUUCUUCCGGGGAACCGCCUCGGGUCGGGCUCGGUUUCGGACUCCUUCGCCCUCGGGCCCAAAGGGAACCGGCGGAGAGCGGCAGUACCCUGCCGGGAAAGAGCAAAUCCAACAGCGAGAGGGGUUUUUAUAGGGUGCUUUCAUGCUGCCAAACCUUUUCACUAAUUGCCUCCUUCUCCCUGCAGGACGGCUUUGAACCCGUAACAGUCGCGUUCCGCCCAGACAUACGCAUUGGGAACAACUGCUCUGCCUUGUUACUCCCACUUGGCAUGUUGCAAAAAACAAACCUCAUUUCUGUUAAUGCCUCCCUGUGACAUAGGUGGGCCUUUCACCCAACCGAUCACAUCCGUUUAUUUUGUCCAGAGAUGCAUUUCCCGUGUUUUACCGUGUCCAACAGUGUCCCGUCGGCAGCCCCAUCCCGCAGCCGUGUCCUUUUGUGCAUCGUGACGCUUGCGGGCAAGCAGAGAUGCCCCACAUUUGGACGACAGAAGCCGGACCAAGCACGAACUGCCCUUAGGCGCGCUGCUCGUACCCCAACCCAGGAAGGGAGAAAAAAUGUGACGGCAGCAGACAGCGCUGCAUCAUGGGACAAAGAAAGACGCUCAAGGUGAGUUGCGGACGAGAAGCUAACACUCGGGAAGAAGCAGCGUGCGCCUGCAGCAAGCCCUCCGGAGGCAGAACGCAGAGUGGCGACAUUCACUUGCUCCUCGGAGGGCCGAGGGAGAAGUUAAUAUGGGCUCAGCUGUUCCACGGGGCCCUUCCACGCAAGACGGACUCCUGCAGAAAAAGGCACUUGGAGCACAACUGCCCCACUCCUCCAGCAAGAGGCUACCCUCCAC